rnacentral:rRNA from 1 species
GACGUAGGGCGCGAGCGUUGUCCGGAUUUAUUGGGCGUAAAGAGCUCGUAGGCGGCUUGUCGCGUCGUCCGUGAAAACCUGCAGCUCAACUGCAGGCUUGCGGUCGAUACGGGCAGGCUAGAGUUCGGUAGGGGAGACUGGAAUUCCUGGUGUAGCGGUGAAAUGCGCAGAUAUCAGGAGGAACACCGGUGGCGAAGGCGGAUCUCUGGGCCUUACCUGACGCUCAGGUGCGAAAGCUAGGGGAGCGAACAGG